rnacentral:lncRNA from 1 species
CUUUAAUAACAAACCAUGAAAGACUGGAUGAAUUUUUGAGGCAGUAAGAAGUGCUAACUGAUAAGCCACUGUCCCUAUUUUCUUGAUAAUCUGAUUGGGACCAAAAUACUUUGCACCCAGUUUAUGAUUUUGCCUAUUUUCCAAAGAUUGUUUCUUGUAGGUGUGGAGCUUCAGGAACACCCAUUCUCUUACUUCAAAUGACCUCUCAGUCCUCUUUUUAUCAACAAAGAGUUUCAUCCUGGCAGUUGUCUUUGAGAGUUUUUCUUUCAGUUGCUGGUUUAAUUUAUACCUUUAUUGUAGCCAUUCUUUCACUGAUGCCACAUUGGAUUGCUAAUGUGGAUCCAAGGAGAUCUGUAGUAGUUUGAUUCCAUAAAGCUUCAAAAGGAGUCAUCCUAAUGGAGGAGUGAAGGUGGUAUUGUACCACCAUUCAACAAGAGAUAGCCAUUUUCCCCACUAUUUGGGCUGUUGAUGUGUCAUACACCUUAAGUAAAUCUCUACACAUUGAUUUGACCUCUCAGUUUGCCCAUUUGACUGAAGAUAAUAGGCUGAGCUCAAGUGGAGUUGUGUACCCAUCAAUUUAAAUAAUUCUUGCUAGAAUCUGUUUGUGAAUACUUUGUCUCUAUCAAAGAUAAUGCUGUGUGGCAACCUAUGAAGUUUAAAAACAGUAUCAAAGAAGAUCUUAGCAACUGUGAUUGUUGUGAAUGGGUGAGAAAUAGAAAUGAAGUGUCCGUACUUUGUGAAUCUAUCUACCAUCACCAAAAGUGUCUUUCCCUCCUGAGUUAGGUAAACCUUCAAUGAAGUCCAUGCUUAUGUGACUCCAAGCAUGUAAUGGAACGCGUGCAGCAAUCCAGGAUAAGGAGUUUGUUCUCCCUUAAACUUUUGGCAAAUCUCACACUGCAUUAACUCAUUUCAAAUGUCCUGGUUUAUCCCUGCCCAGUAAAAGUGUUGUUUGGCUCUAUAUAUACUGCUGUGAAUGCGUGAGUGUCCCCCUUCUUGAGAUCCAUGGAUAUUCUGAAUCACCUUUGAUCUAAUUUUCCCACCCUUGCCAAUUUAGAUUCUGUUUUAAUACUUCAAAACACCAUUGUUGUACUUAAAGUUUGGAUCAAAGCUAGGAUUCAGUAGUAAGGUCUGUAUUUUAUCCUCAGCCAUCGUAUCCUCCUUAUAGCUUUUCGUUACUUCUUGGAUCCAUGUAGGAAUCAUCAUGGUAACCCCAGAACAUUCCACCUCUCUUUCAUGCCUUCUCGAUAAGGCAUCGGCCACAGAAUUAUCAACUCCCCUUUUAUAAAUUAUCUCAUAACUUAGUCUUAAUAGCUUGGUGAGCAAUUUCUGUUGGAGGGGAGUAUUGAUUCUUUGUUCCAACAAAUAUUUGAGAGACUAAUGGUCUGUCUUGAUGAUAAAAUGGUUGCCCUCUGGAUAGUGCCUCCUUUUACUAGUGGCUGUUACCAGUGCUAGCAAUUCUUUCUCAUAAAUCGACAUUCCCAUAUUUCUAAUCCCAAUAGCCUUGCUCAAAUAAGCCAGUGAUUUCUUGUCUUGCAUCAACAUAGCCCCAACCCCUCCUUGAAAGGCAUCGGUUUCAAUAAUAAAUGGUUUAUGAAAAUCAGGUAAGGCCAACACAGGUGUGGAACGCAUAGAUUGUUUCAACUGAUCAAAGGCUGCACUUGCAUCUUCUGUCCAUGGAAAUUGUCUUUCUUAAGCAUGUCUGUCAGUGGUUUUGCUAUUACUCCAUAACCUCUAACAAAUUUUCUGUAGUAACCAGUCCACCCAAGGAAGCCUGUCAAUUGUUUGAUGUUUUCGGCUUAGGCUAAAGCUGUAUAGCUUCUACCUUGCUGGGAUCUGCUAAGAUGCCUUUAUGGCUGAUAAUAUUAUCAGUAGGGAUCUAAUUAUGGAUUACCCCUUUCCUCUCUCUUUUCCCUUUCUUAGUAAAGCGUGAUUUUGUAAUUGUG